CACCGAACGUGUGGUAGAAUCCUUUGUAAAUGACUAAAAUCCGGGAGGGGGUAUUGUAAGUGGCAGAAUGGCCUUGCUGCCACGAUCCACUGAGAUUCAGCCCUUUGUCGCUUCGAUUCGU
rnacentral:ncRNA from 1 species